GUUUGACAUAAAAAUUUCUGCAAGACAAUUGGUCUCUCUGUAUGAUAAAUGGUCAAACAUCUCAUUCAUUUCUAAUGUCUGUGCUUUAAACAGUAAGGUAAAUAUAUAGAAGGCUUCCUUUUCUUUGCUUGGCAUUUAUCUUCUCAAGUGUGGAGGUCUGUCUGAUUAAUGUCUAGUCAUUCAAGGAAAAAGAUGUCAUCUCUAAGUUGCAUGAAACGUGGAAUGAUUAGGUCAUGCUUCUGAGGGAAUUUUUAUAUUCAAUUACUUAAACUUUUUUUAAAACUUUUUUUUUUUUUUUUAAUUUGUGUUCCAAGGAGACCCUUCUAUUUCUGCGUAGCUUAAUAGACGGAGGCUGUUUCUUGAUGGGGGAUCUUCUGUAGCAGGAGUCUCCAUCUGCUGGCGGUGAUGGCUCUGCAUUCUGGCAGUGCUCAAGGACUUGCGGAGGCUGACGCAGUUAUUUCCACCCCGAGUGCUUGGCCCCACUCUCCGGCUCUGGGCUCCGUAACCCAUGGCAACAAGAGAAGGGAAGCAGAGGGUUGUCAGGACCUGGGACAGUGUUUCCCUGAAACUACUAAUUUUGGACCCAUAUCAGGCAUUGGCCAUGACCUAGAUUUUGAGCACAAAAUCA
rnacentral:lncRNA from 1 species